CUUUCUUUGCUGGCGACCGGCGCACGGGUGAGUAACACGUAUCCAACCUGCCCUUUACUCGGGGAUAGCCUUUCGAAAGAAAGAUUAAUACCCGAUAGCAUAAUGAUUCCGCAUGGUUUCAUUAUUAAAGGAUUCCGGUAAAGGAUGGGGAUGCGUCCCAUUAGGUUGUUGGUGAGGUAACGGCCCACCAAGCCUUCGAUGGAUAGGGGUUCUGAGAAGAAGGUCCCCCACAUUGGAACUGAGACACGGUCCAA
rnacentral:rRNA from 1 species